rnacentral:rRNA from 1 species
UCAAGCUACAAAGAGCGCAAGGGGAAUGCCUUGGCACUGAGAGCCGAAGAAGGACGCGGCAAACUGCGAAAAGCUAUGGGGAGCCGUAAGCAGGCAUUGAUCCAUAGAUGUCCGAAUGGAGCAAUCCGGCUGGAGUCAUGUCCAGCCACCGUGAAGUGAAUUCAUAGCUUCACGGGGGGAACCGCCUGAACUGAAACAUCUAAGUAGGGCGAGGAAGAGAAAUCAAUUGAGAUUCCGCCAGUAGUGGCGAGCGAACGCGGAAGAGGCCAAACCGGGGGUAGCAAUAUCUCCGGGGUUAGGACGGCGUAAGGUACGUCGAGGGAUAGCAGAAUGGCAUGGGAAGGCCAACGAGACAGUGUGAAAGUCACGUAUGCGAAAUUCCGAGACGGCCGGCCGGAUCCAGAGUACCGCCGGACACGUGAAACCCGGUGGGAAGAUGGGGGGACCACCCUCCAAGCCUAAAUACUACUCAGUGACCGAUAGUGCACAGUACUGUGAAGGAAAGGUGAAAAGGACCCCGGGAGGGGAGUGAAAUAGAACCUGAAACCUUGUGCUUACAAGCACCGAGAGCCCGUCAAAGGGUGAUCGGGUACCUUUUGUAGAAUGGUCCGGCGAGUGAAUGUGACUGGCGAGGUUAAGGACUUUAAGGUCUGGAGCCGCAGCGAAAGCAAGUCUGAACAGGGCGUAUGAAGUCAGUUGUAUUCGACCCGAAACCGGGUGACCUACCCAUGUCCAGGUUGAAGUGGAGGUAAAACUCCAUGGAGGACCGAACCGACUCCCGUUGAAAUGGUAGCGGAUGAGGUGUGGGUAGCGGAGAAAUUCCAAUCGAACCCGGAGAUAGCUGGUUCUCUCCGAAAUAGCUUUAGGGCUAGCCUCGCAUUAGAUUUCCGGAGGUAAAGCACUGAAUGAGCUAGGGGCCGAAAGGUUACUGAACUCUAUCAAACUCAGAAUGCCGGAAAAUUGAUGUGCGGGAGUCAGACAGUGUGAGAUAAGUUUCAUUGUCAAAAGGGAAACAGCCCAGACCCACAGCUAAGGUCCCGAAAUAUGGUUAAGUGGAAAAGGAUGUGGGGGUGCACAGACAACCAGGAUGUUGGCUCAGAAGCAGCCAUUCAUUAAAAGAGUGCGUAAUAGCUCACUGGUCGAGUGCCCCUGCGCCGAAAAUUUACCGGGGCUAAAUCAUAUACCGAAGCUUGGGAUGCUCAGCUAUUCUUCGUGUUUUUAAGCGGAGAAACACUUGAAGAUGGGAAGAAUGGCUGAGUAUGGUAGGAGAGCGUUGUGUAAGGGGUGAAGUCAGAGCGGAAGCGCUGGUGGACUUUACACAAGAGAGAAUGCCGGAAUGAGUAGCGAGAAAUAUGUGAGAAUCAUAUUGGCCGAAAGUCUAAGGUUUUUGGAGGAAGGUUCGUCCGCUCCAAGUGAGCCGGGAGCUAAGGUGAGGCCGAAAGGCGUAGCCGAUGCACAUACGGUGGAAAUUCCGUAGCCGCCAAAAGAUUUAAGUAAGAUGACACCUUGAAAGGGCAUAACCCGGGCGUUGGUAGACCCGGGCGCAAGGGACCGAAAUCAGAGUAGGGAAGUAUGCUUGGACGAGGGCGAGAAAAGUCUUAUGGAUAUCUGAGGCGCCCGUACCGCAAACCGACACAGGUAGACAGGAAGAAGAUUCCAAGGCCAACGGGAGAAGGGUAGUUAAGGAACUCGGCAAAUUGACCCCGUAACUUAGGGAAAAGGGGUGCCACAGCGAUGUGGCCGCAGAGAAUAGGCCCAGGCGACUGUUUAGCAAAAACACAGGUUUCUGCCAAAUCGAAAGAUGACGUAUAGGAGCUGACACCUGCCCGGUGCUGGAAGGUUAAGAGGAGAUGUGCAAGCAUUGAAUUGAAGCCCCAGUAAACGGCGGCCGUAACUAUAACGGUCCUAAGGUAGCGAAAUUCCUUGUCGGGUAAGUUCCGACCCGCACGAAUGGUGUAACGAUCUGGGCACUGUCUCGAUUACCCGCCCGGCGAAAUUGUAGUACCGGUGAAGAUGCCGGUUACCCGCGACAAGACGGAAAGACCCCAUGGAGCUUUACUGCAGCUUAAUAUUGGGUUUUGAUCAUUUAUGUACAGGAUAGGCGGGAGGCUAGGAAACCGUGGCGCCAGCCGCGGCGGAGUCACCCUUGGGAUACCGCCCUUAAGUGGUUGAAAUUCUAACCUGCGGCCGUGAAUCCGGCCGGGGGACAUUGUUAGGCGGGCAGUUUGACUGGGGCGGUCGCCUCCAAAAAGGUAACGGAGGCGCUCAAAGGUCAGCUCAGCACGGACGGAAACCGUGCCAUAGAGUGUAAACGCGUAAGCUGGCCUAACUGCGAGGGCGACGGCCCGAGCAGUAACGAAAGUUGGAGUUAGUGAUCCGGCGGUAUGAAAGUGGAAUUGCCGUCGCUCAACGGAUAAAAGCUACCCUGGGGAUAACAGGCUGAUCUCCCCCAAGAGUCCACAUCGACGGGGAGGUUUGGCACCUCGAUGUCGGCUCAUCACAUCCUGGGGCUGUAUUCGGUCCCAAGGGUUCGGCUGUUCGCCGAUUAAAGUGGUACGCGAGCUGGGUUCAGAACGUCGUGAGACAGUUCGGUCCCUAUCUGUCGUGGGCGCAGGAUAUUUGAGGAGAGCUGUCCUUAGUACGAGAGGACCGGGAUGGACGCACCGCUGGCGCACCAGUUGUCAUGCCAAUGGCACAGCUGGGCAACUAAGUGCGGAUCGGAUAAACGCUGAAAGCAUCUAAGCGUGAAGCCGGCUCCAAGAUAAGAUAUCCCACAGCGUAAAGCUGGUAAGACCCCUUGAGGACUACAAGGUUGAUAGGCUGCAUGUGUAAGCACGGCAACGUGCUCAGCUUGGCAGUACUAAUAGGUCGAGGGCUUGACCAU